rnacentral:rRNA from 1 species
AUUGAACGCUGGCGGCAGGCCUAACACAUGCAAGUAGAGCGAGCGGCGGACGGGUGAGUAAUGUAUGGGGACUGCCCGAUAGAUGGGGAUAACUACUGGAAACGGUUGCUAAUUCCGCAUACUAUUGGAUAACCCAUAAGGGAUUAGCUAGUAGGGGGGGUAAAGGCUCACCUAGGCUACGAUCUCUAGCUGGUCUGAGAGGAUGAUCAGCGUCACUGGGAGUAGCAAACUACCAAGAUGCCUACGGAGGCAGCCGUGUGGAAUUUUGCACCAGGUGCGCAAGCCUGAUGCAGCCAGGCCGCGUGUAUGAAGAAGGCCUUAGGGUUGUAAAGUACUUGCAGCGGGGGGGCGUUACCCUCAGAAUCAGCACAGGCUAACUCCGUGCCAGCAGCCGCGGUAAUUC